rnacentral:tRNA from 1 species
GCCGGCUUAGCUCAGAUGGUAGAGCAACUGACUUGUAAUCAGUAGGUCACCAGUUCAAUUCCGGUAGCCGGCA